rnacentral:rRNA from 1 species
UGUCUUUCAAGUAUCUGCCUUAUCAACUUUCGAUGGUAGUGUAUCUGACUACCAUGGUGGUGACGGGUAACGGAGGAUAAGGGUUUGACUCCGGAGAAGGGGCCUGAGAAAUGGCCACUACGUCUAAGGAUGGCAGCAGGCGCGCAAAUUACCCACUCUCAGAACGAGGAGGUAGUGACGAAAAAUAACGAGACCGUUCUCUACGAGGCCGGUCAUCGGAAUGGGUACAAUCUAAACCCUUUAACGAGUAUCUAUGAGAGGGCAAGUCUGGUGCCAGCAGCCGCGGUAAUUCCAGCUCUCAAAAUGCAUAGAAUUAUUGCUGCGGUUAAAAAGCUCGUAGUUGGAUCUGUGCUGAGGACCUGGUCCACCUUCGGGUGCGUACUAGGCUCCACGGCUUUUCUGCCGGUUUUCCCGUCAUGGCUUUCAUCGGCUGUGGCGGGUGGCUGGUGAUUUUACUUUGAACAAAUCAGAGUGCUUCAAACAGGCGUUUAGCUUGAAUGUUUUUGCAUGGAAUAAUAGAAGAGGAUUUCGGUUCUAUUUUAUUGGUUUUAUAGACUGAAAUAAUGGUUAACAGAGACCAACGGGGGCAUUCGUACCGCUGCGUGAGAGGUGAAAUUCUUGGACCGCAGCGAGACGAACUACAGCGAAAGCAUUUGCCAAGAAGGUCUUCAUUAAUCAAGAACGAAAGUCAGAGGUUCGAAGGCGAUCAGAUACCGCCCUAGUUCUGACCGUAAACGAUGCCAACUAGCGAUCUGCCGGCGGAAUUUUCGCCCUGGUAGGGAGCUUCCCGGAAACGAAAGUCUUCCGGUUCCGGGGGAAGUAUGGUUGCAAAGCUGAAACUUAAAGGAAUUGACGGAAGGGCACCACCAGGAGUGGAGCCUGCGGCUUAAUUUGACUCAACACGGGGAAACUCACCCGGCCCGGACACCAUAAGGAUUGACAGAUUGAUAGCUUUUUCAUGAUUUGGUGGAUGGUGGUGCAUGGCCGUUCUUAGUUCGUGGAGCGAUUUGUCUGGUUUAUUCCGAUAACGAGCGAGACUCUAGCCUACUAAAUAGUCUGCACAUUGCUUCUGUGAUGCAGUACUUCUUAGAGGGAUUUUCGGUGUACAGCCGCACGAGAUUGAGCAAUAACAGGUCUGUGAUGCCCUUA